GACGAACGCUGGCGGCGUGCUUAACACAUGCAAGUCGAACGAAGUGGCGAACGGGUGAGUAACGCGUAAUCAACCUGCCCUUCAGCGGGGGACCACAGUUGGAAACGACUGCUACUCCCGCAUACUGAAGGAGGGGAUUGCGUCUGAUUAGCUAGUUGGUGGGGUAACGGCCCACCAAGGCGAUGAUCAGUAGGCGGUGUGAGGGGAAGGACGGCCACAAUGGGACUGAGACACGGCCCAGACGCCUACGGGAGGCAGCAAGGGGGAAUCUUCCGCAAUGGAGGAAAGUCUGGCGGAGCAACGCCGCGUGAGUGAUGACGGCCUUCGGGUUGUAAAGCUCUGUUAAUCGGGACGCGGUACCGGAAUAGAAAGCCACGGCUAACUACGUGCCAGCAGCCGCGGUAAUUC
rnacentral:rRNA from 1 species